UACGAAGGGGGCUAGCGUUGCUCGGAAUCACUGGGCGUAAAGGGUGCGUAGGCGGGUCUUAAGUCAGGGGUGAAAGCCUGUGGCUCAACCACAGAAUUGCCUUCGAUACUGCGAGGCUUGAGACCGGAAGAGGUUAGUGGAACUGCGAGUGUAGAGGUGAAAUUCGUAGAUAUUCGCAAGAACACCAGUGGCGAAGGCGGCUGACUGGUCCGGAUCUGACGCUGAGGCGCGAAAGCGUGGGGAGCAAACAGGG
rnacentral:rRNA from 1 species